rnacentral:tRNA from 1 species
GGGGUAGUAGCUCAACGGGAGAGCGGCGGCGUUGCAAACCGACGAUGAGGGUUCAAUUCCCUCCUUCUCCACCA